rnacentral:rRNA from 1 species
UGGGGAAUUUUGGACAAUGGGGGAAACCCUGAUCCAGCCAUCCCGCGUGUGCGAUGAAGGCCUUCGGGUUGUAAAGCACUUUUGGCAGGAAAGAAACGUCGCGGGUUAAUACCCCGCGGAACUGACGGUACCUGCAGAAUAAGCACCGGCUAACUACGUGCCAGCAGCCGCGGUAAUACGUAGGGUGCAAGCGUUAAUCGGAAUUACUGGGCGUAAAGCGUGCGCAGGCGGUUCGGAAAGAAAGAUGUGAAAUCCCAGAGCUUAACUUUGGAACUGCAUUUUUAACUACCGGGCUAGAGUGUGUCAGAGGGAGGUGGAAUUCCGCGUGUAGCAGUGAAAUGCGUAGAUAUGCGGAGGAACACCGAUGGCGAAGGCAGCCUCCUGGGAUAACACUGACGCUCAUGCACGAAAGCGUGGGGAGCAAACAGGAUUAGAUACCCUGGUAGUCCACGCCCUAAACGAUGUCAACUAGCUGUUGGGGUCUUCGGACCUUGGUAGCGCAGCUAACGCGUGAAGUUGACCGCCUGGGGAGUACGGUCGCAAGAUUAAAACUCAAAUGAAUUGACGGGGUCGAU